CAGUGUUACAGCUCUUUUAGAAUUUGUCUAGCAGGCUUUCUGGUUCUCACCAGAAGAACCCCC
rnacentral:snRNA from 1 species